rnacentral:rRNA from 1 species
UACAGAGGUCUCGAGCGUUGUUCGGAUUCAUUGGGCGUAAAGGGUGCGUAGGCGGCGGGGCAAGUCUGAUGUGAAAUCCCGGGGCUCAACCCCGGAACUGCAUUGGAUACUGCCUUGCUUGAGUACUGGAGAGGAGACUGGAAUUUACGGUGUAGCAGUGAAAUGCGUAGAUAUCGUAAGGAAGACCAGUGGCGAAGGCGAGUCUCUGGACAGUUACUGACGCUGAGGCACGAAGGCCAGGGGAGCAAACGGG